AGGUACGCGGAGGUCUGCACCGGCUCCCCAUGGUUCAGAGGGAAGGCUUCUUCUAACUCCCACUUCUCUCAGCACCAAUACAGGCGUUCUAACUAGUGGGUGAAAAAUAAAGAGUAUGCCUCCCUGUGAGGGCCGCCAGCAUCUGGAACCUGCUACCGUGAUGGUGCCCUCGGUUUCUCUGCCUCACCACAUCGCUAGAUGACUGACGCUCCUUGUUCUGACUUUGCAGUUUCCACUGCCUCUUCCCCCAGCUCCAGGAACCCUGGGCAAGCCUGGUUGUCUCCAUCUCUCCUUCUGUUGCUGUCUAGAGCUGCUAGGGUGGUGAUGACUCAGACAACUGCCUCAGAGCCGAACCUAGCUCUGCGCCUACCUCUGUUGCCUGUGAUCUGCCUGCUGUGCACACACAGGAGUGAGCCAAGGCUCCUUGCUGCCGCGGUAAUGCCUCACAGCAACACUGGGAACCUGCUGGCCCAGGCUGACUUUAUCCUAAGAUAAGUCAUCUUGUUACAAGCUCAAAACGAGCUCAUUCCUGUUUUGUAUAAAACUUGGGUUUUGUCUUAACCUAUUUUAUGGAAUUUGACAUGUCCCACACCCUAUAUUCUGACCUCCACCCUAAUAAGAUGUUUUGCCAAAUAAUUUUGAGAUGUUCUGCCAAGUUCCCAUGUAAACAAAACACCCUUGAAAACAUCCUAGCCUUGCAGUUUUAAAGCUAAUCUAAACUCCACUUUAUCCCGUGUUUGAUGCUGUUUUCUCAAACACUGCUUUAGGGAAGUAGCCCUGUCUUACAGAAACUAAGCUUGCUUAAUUAGACUAAACGGAUUUGAGUAAUGGUCUUUACUCUCAUUCAGUGGGGUUAACAAUUGCAGGGCUAUCAAGACCUCAACCCAAGUUCUGAAGCCCUUCACUCUGGGCUUCUGGGACUGGAAUAUUGCCUCCGAGAGUGCACACUUUGAAGAUGUUCCAAGACUCCAAAGGUGGAUUUUCAGUUUGGCAGAUUGUUAGAGCCAAAUGCCACACUAAAAAGAAACCAGCAAGCACGUAUCUGAGGAGGUCUCCAAGGUAGCCGCUAGAAGGUGUCUCCUUCUAUGACUGUUUCUGGCAGGGUCGUGCCUGGGGGACAGAGAGGUACCCGACAAGGUACUCGAACUCCUCGGGGCACUAGCAAGACUUUGCAUUGCCACCUGGGUUUCGGCACCUGGUUCUUGGUUCCCCUAUGUUUUGUUCUAUGUUUUGUUUGUCAUCUGCUCAGGGUUCUAGCAAGAAGUCAUUCUGCCCACUUGGUUCUUGGAUACUGAGAGCCGAGAUGGAAAUCAGUCAAGCCUGGUUAAAUGUGUGAAUGGAGAUGCCCACUUCAUGUUUUUUUU